UACGUAGGGGGCGAGCGUUGUCCGGAUUUAUUGGGCGUAAAGAGCGUGUAGGCGGCCAGGUAGGUCUGCUGUGAAAUCCGAGGCUCAACCUCGGACUUGCAGUGGGUACGGGCAGACUAGAGUGUGGGUAGGGGAGACUGGAAUUCCUGGUGUAGCGGUGGAAUGCGCAGAUAUCAGGAGGAACACCGAGUGGCGAAGGCAGGUCUCUGGGCCGAUACUGACGCUGAGGAGCGAAAGCGUGGGGAGCGAACAGG
rnacentral:rRNA from 1 species